CCGAAAUAGCAAAAGCGACGAGGAGUCGUGUUGGCUGCCUGCUGGGGAGUGAGGAGAUCUGCUUUCACUCCGCUGCCCCACAUAUUUCCUGCUGGCUGGACGCCUUGUGAUUCUGCGAGUAGACACGCCUGCCGUAGUUCGACAUCAUAAGUAACCUCGUUUGGACCGCUGCGCUAAUUAGAGGCUCCGCAAAACAAGAUCUCACCAAUCUGCUGCUGGUGUUCUACCUGCACAUCUACUUAAAAGGAGGCUUCAAACUGGCGGAUCCACAGCUGAGGAAACACCAUGUUUUUUGGGGUGAUGUGCUCGUGUGACACCGUCGACCCCCCCCCUCCCGUGAACUCAAGUAGGGCUGAGAUGUCAGACGCGGCGGGUGAUCAGUGCGGUUACGUUGUCCAGCCGCUUCACGCCAGCAUAGAACUGUCAUUUGUGGGUGCGCGUCUACGUCCUCUCUGGAGAGCGGAGGAGGCGCCAAGGGAGUCGCAGUGACUCACGCUGUGGGAGAGAAGGGGAGUGAGGGACAGAGGGAAAGUGCCCACAUCAUCCCCCUCCGUCAUUACAGCCCACACCACCCACAGAAACUAAAGAGCGCAUUCACACAGAGAACACACACACACACACAUGGCAGCAUAUGAAAGAGGUAGCCUCCACAUCAGUGUGUCAGAGAGGCUUAUCCAUAAUGGGCAAGGCAGGCUGCAGCAGUGAAUCAAGCACUUAUUCAGAGAAGCCCUCCUGUAUAAUACAGUGCUCACAAUUAGAGUAGACAUUCACAGAAAAUGGUUAAAAGCUGCAAAUUAUCAUGUUUCGGUCGACACACGACUGGCGCUUUCUCGCGGUCACAGCUUGAUACAUUUUACAAUUUGGAUUUCACAUGUUGAAUAGAGAAGGCUUUUGAUCUGGGGAGUCAGAUAUUUGCCAUUGUGUGAGGCGUCGGGAGGAGACUGCUGUUGUAUUAGUGACAAACCUGUAUGAAAAAG
ensembl:lncRNA